rnacentral:rRNA from 1 species
AAUCAACGCUGGCGGCGUGCCUCAGACAUGCAAGUCGAACGAUUAAGACUCUCUUCGGAGAGUGUAUAAAGUGGCGCACGGGUGAGUAACACGUAAGUAAUCUACCUUUGAGUGGGGAAUAACGUUCGGAAACGGACGCUAAUACCGCAUAAUGCAGCGGCACCUAAUGGUGACAGUUGUUAAAGGAGCAAUCCGCUUAAAGAGGAGCUUGCGGCAGAUUAGCUAGNGGUAAGGUAAUGGCUUACCAAGGCUACGAUCUGUAACCGGUCUAAGAGGACGGUCGGUCACACUGACACUGAAUAACGGGUCAGACUCCUACGGGAGGCAGCAGUCGGGAAUUUUGGGCAAUGGGCGAAAGCCUGACCCAGCAACGCCGCGUGAAGGAUGAAGUAUUUCGGUAUGUAAACUUCGAAAGAAUGGGAAGAAUCAAUGACGGUACCAUUUAUAA